UGCAGCUUUGUCAAAUUCAAUGCUACCUCCUCGGUAGGUUGCAUUGGCCAAAAUGGCUGCAACAGCAAGCGUAGUUCAUGGGCCCCGCCAUUCUUCCUAAUGAAUACUGGGGAUAAAUAUGUACUGCUGACAAUA
ensembl:snoRNA small nucleolar RNA SNORA5